CAGCAGCCGCGGUAAUACCGAGGGUGCGAGCGUUAAUCGGAUUUACUGGGCGUAAAGCGUGCGUAGGCGGCUAAUUGAGUCGGAUGUGAAAUCCCCGAGCUUAACUUGGGAAUUGCAUUCGAUACUGGGAAGCUAGAGUAUGGGAGAGGAUGGUAGAAUUCCAGGUGUAGCGGUGAAAUGCGUAGAGAUCUGGAGGAAUACCGAUGGCGAAGGCAGCCAUCUGGCCUAAUACUGACGCUGAGGUACGAAAGCAUGGGGAGCAAACAGGAUUAGAUACCCCUGUAGUCCCUGUCUCUUAUAA
rnacentral:rRNA from 1 species